CAGUAGCCGCGGUAAUGCGAAGGGGGCUAGCGUUGUUCGGAUUUACUGGGCGUAAAGGGCGCGUAGGCGGACUGAUAAGUCAGGGGUGAAAUCCCAAGGCUCAACCUUGGAACUGCCUUUGAUACUGUUUGUCUUGAGUUCGAGAGAGGUAAGUGGAACUGCGAGUGUAGGGGUGAAAUUCGUAGAUAUUCGCAAGAACACCAGUGGCGAAGGCGGCUUACUGGAAGAUAACUGACGUUGAGGCUCGAAGGCGUGGGUAGCAAACAGGAUUAGAGACCCCCGUAGUCCCUGUCUCUUAUAA
rnacentral:rRNA from 1 species